rnacentral:rRNA from 1 species
GACGAACGCUGGCGGCGUACUUAACACAUGCAAGUCGAGCGGAAAGGCCUCUUCGGGGGUACUCGAGCGGCGAACGGGUGAGUAACACGUGAGUAAUCUGCCCUUCACUCUGGGAUAGCCACCGGAAACGGUGAUUAAUACCGGAUACGACACGUCCAGGCAUCUGGUGCGUGUGGACACUUUUUGGGUGGGGGAUGUGCUCGCGGCCGAUCAGCUUGUUGGUGGGGUAAUGGCCUACCAAGGCUUCGACGGGUAGCCGGCCUGAGAGGGUGACCGGCCACACUGGGACUGAGACACGGCCCAGACUCCUACGGGAGGCAGCAGUGGGGAAUAUUGGACAAUGGGCGGAAGCCUGAUCCAGCAACGCCGCGUGAGGGAUGACGGCCUUCGGGUUGUAAACCUCUUUCAGCACCGACGAAGCGAUCCUUUGGGGAGUGACGGUAGGUGCAGAAGAAGGACCGGCCAACUACGUGCCAGCCGCCGCGGUAAAAC